AACGAACGCUGGCGGCAUGCCUAACACAUGCAAGUCGAACGAGAUCUUCGGGUCUAGUGGCGCACGGGUGCGUAACGCGUGGGAAUCUGCCCUUUGGUUCGGAAUAACAGUUGGAAACGACUGCUAAUACCGGAUGAUGACGAAAGUCCAAAGAUUUAUCGCCAGAGGAUGAGCCCGCGUAGGAUUAGCUAGUUGGUGUGGUAAAGGCGCACCAAGGCGACGAUCCUUAGCUGGUCUGAGAGGAUGAUCAGCCACGCUGGGACUGAGACACGGCCCAGACUCCUACGGGAGGCAGCGGUGGUGAAUAUUGGACAAUGGGCGAAAGCCUGAUCCAGCAAUGCCGCGUGAGUGAUGAAGGCCUUAGGGUUGUAAAGCUCUUUUACCCGGGAUGAUAAUGACAGUACCGGGAGAAUAAGCUCCGGCUAACUCCGUGCCAGCCGCCGCCGUAA
rnacentral:rRNA from 1 species